rnacentral:antisense_RNA from 2 species
CGCAAUGGCGGCUGUGCGCGGGACACCUCCGGGUGUGCCGGGUUCCUGAAGUCCCGGUCGGCCAACCCGCGUACAGUCGCCCCCAUC